rnacentral:piRNA from 1 species
UGAAAUAGUCGACUGAUAGUUCUGCC